AGAAACCUAGCGAGCAGUGAAAGAUCUACACCUACCAACAAACAACUGCGCUGAAUCUUUGCUUUUUAUUGCUGUAUACAAUCGUUUUAUCGGUUUGCUUUUAGCUUUGGCUUUACCUUCUCCGUUGAAACUGAACAAAAACAAUAUCCCUUUAUAAAACCACCUUGAUCUCAUCGAUCUUCCUCAAGAUUUAUUCUCUUUUUUUUUUCUUUCUCUUCACUUCCACAUUGGCUCUCUCUGCCUCUCAAAGAAAAUAUUUGCAGUUUCUG